UACAGAGGGUGCAAGCGUUGUUCGGAAUUAUUGGGCGUAAAGGGCGCGUAGGCGGUGCGGUAAGUCACCUGUGAAACCUCUGGGCUUAACUCAGAGCCUGCAGGCGAAACUGCCGUGCUUGAGUGUGGGAGAGGUGCGUGGAAUUCCCGGUGUAGCGGUGAAAUGCGUAGAUAUCUGGAGGAACACCGGUGGCGAAGGCGGCAUCCUGGACCAACACUGACGCUGAGUGAGCGAAAGCCAGGGGAGCAAACGGG
rnacentral:rRNA from 1 species